rnacentral:rRNA from 1 species
ACUCAAAUGAAUAGACGGGGACCCGCACAAGCGGUGGAGCAUGUGGUUUAAUUCGACGCAACGCGAAGAACCUUACCAGGCCUUGACAUCCCGGUCGCGGGAUCCAGAGAUGGAUUCCUUCAGUUCGGCUGGACCGGUGACAGGUGCUGCAUGGCUGUCGUCAGCUCGUGUCGUGAGAUGUUGGGUUAAGUCCCGCAACGAGCGCAACCCUUAUCUCCUGUUGCCAGCAUUCAGUUGGGCACUCAGGCGAAACUGCCGGUGAUAAGCCGGAGGAAGGUGGGGACGACGUCAAGUCAUCAUGGCCCUUACGGCCUGGGCUACACACGUGCUACAAUGGUAGUGACAGUGAGCAGCUAACACGCGAGUGUAUGCUAAUCUCAAAAAGCUAUCUCAAUUCAGAUUGCACUCUGCAACUCGAGUGCAUGAAGCUGGAAUCGCUAGUAAUCGUGGAUCAGCAUGCCACGGUGAAUACGUUCCCGGGUCUUGCACACACCGCCCGU